rnacentral:rRNA from 1 species
AAUCAACGCUGGCGGCGUGCCUAACACAUGCAAGUCGAGCGAGAAAGGGGCUUCGGCCCUGAGUAAAGCGGCGCACGGGUGAGUAACACGUGGGUAAUCUGCCCUAGAGUGGGGAAUAACAUCGGGAAACCGAUGCUAAUACCGCAUACGAUCACGAGGUCUUCGGAUUUUGUGAUGAAAGGAGCAAUCCGCUCUUGGAGGAGCCCGCGGCUGAUUAGCAGUUGGUAAGGUAAUGGCUUACCAAGGCUACGAUCAGUAUCCGGUCUGAGAGGACGGUCGGACACACUGGAACUGAGACACGGUCCAGACUCCUACGGGAGGCAGCAGUGGGGAAUUUUUGGCAAUGGGGGAAACCCUGACCAAGCAACGCCGCGUGGAUGAUGAAGUAUCUUGGUACGUAAAAUCCUUUCGACAGGGAAGAAACCCGCAAGGGUUGAC